CAAAAUGGUGCCGUAACUUCGGGAGAAGGCACGCUGACACGUAGGUGAAGUGAUUUACUCAUGGAGCUGAAGUCAGUCGAAGAUACCAGCUGGCUGCAACUGUUUAUUAAAAACACAGCACUGUGCAAACACGAAAGUGGACGUAUACGGUGUGACGCCUGCCCGGUGCCGGAAGGUUAAUUGAUGGGGUCAGCGCAAGCGAAGCUCCUGAUCGAAGCCCCGGUAAACGGCGGCCGUAACUAUAACGGUCCUAAGGUAGCGAAAUUCCUUGUCGGGUAAGUUCCGACCUGCACGAAUGGCGUAAUGAUGGCCAGGCUGUCUCCACCCGAGACUCAGUGAAAUUGAACUCGCUGUGAAGAUGCAGUGUACCCGCGGCAAGACGGAAAGACCCCGUGAACCUUUACUAUAGCUUGACACUGAACAUUGAGCCUUGAUGUGUAGGAUAGGUGGGAGGCUUUGAAGUGUGGACGCCAGUCUGCAUGGAGCCGACCUUGAAAUACCACCCUUUAAUGUUUGAUGUUCUAACGUGGACCCGUAAUCCGGGUUGCGGACAGUGUCUGGUGGGUAGUUUGACUGGGGCGGUCUCCUCCUAAAGAGUAACGGAGGAGCACGAAGGUUGGCUAAUCCUGGUCGGACAUCAGGAGGUUAGUGCAAUGGCAUAAGCCAGCUUGACUGCGAGCGUGACGGCGCGAGCAGGUGCGAAAGCAGGUCAUAGUGAUCCGGUGGUUCUGAAUGGAAGGGCCAUCGCUCAACGGAUAAAAGGUACUCCGGGGAUAACAGGCUGAUACCGCCCAAGAGUUCAUAUCGACGGCGGUGUUUGGCACCUCGAUGUCGGCUCAUCACAUCCUGGGGCUGAAGUAGGUCCCAAGGGUAUGGCUGUUCGCCAUUUAAAGUGGUACGCGAGCUGGGUUUAGAACGUCGUGAGACAGUUCGGUCCCUAUCUGCCGUGGGCGCUGGAGAAUUGAGGGGGGCUGCUCCUAGUACGAGAGGACCGGAGUGGACGCAUCACUGGUGUUCGGGUUGUCAUGCCAAUGGCAUUGCCCGGUAGCUAAAUGCGGAAAAGAUAAGUGCUGAAAGCAUCUAAGCACGAAACUUGCCCCAAGAUGAGUUCUCCCUGAGACUUAGAGUCUCCUGAAGGAACGUUGAAGACGACGACGUUGAUAGGCCGGGUGUGUAAGCGCAGCGAUGCGUUGAGCUAACCGGUACUAAUGAACCGUGAGGCUUAACC
rnacentral:rRNA from 1 species